rnacentral:misc_RNA from 1 species
AACGCACAUUGCGCCCCUUGGUAUUCCUUAGGGCAUGCCUGUUCGAGCGUCAUCUAACCCCUCAAGCACCGCUUGAUGUUGGGCGCCUGUCCCGCCGCACGCGCGCGGACUCGCCUCGAAGACAUUGGCGGCCUGUGUGUUGGCCACGAGCGCAGCAGACCACGCGGCUCGUGCCCUCCCGCGCAGGCGCUCCAGGAAGCGAACCCCCCCAGUUUUGACCUCGGAUCAGGUAGGGAUACCCGCUGAACUUAA